AUAAACCGCGCGGUGUGUAUGCGAGAGCCAGCGUAGGCCGUCAGUCUUUCAGCGGCGGUGAGAGCGGGUGCACGUGUCGCUCCGUUUUCUGUCGGUCGUCUUCAUAGAAAAUGUGAAACCGCUUUAUUUUCCCGGUGAAAUGUCCUAGUGUUAAUGAUUAGAAAUACAAAACAAACGCGAGAGAAAAAGAGGAAAAUUUUCGUAAUCACUGAAUAAUUCUAGAAAGAAAUAGAUGCAAAAAUAAACCGAAAAUAGAGAAAAUAAGAAAGAGAAAUAUACAAGAAGAAAAUUAUCCACAAACUCAUACCGUCCAUUAAAAUAGAAUAAGAGAGAUAAAGAAAAAAAAAUGAAAAAUAGGAAAUAAUAUAGUUAAAAACGAGAAACAAAACAAAAGGAUAAACGCAGAAAUAGUUAAAGAAGGAAAAUAUAAAAAAA